UGGGGGCUAUUGCACAAUGGGCGAAAGCCUGAUGCAGCGACGCCGCGUGGGGGAUGAAGGCCUUCGGGUUGUAAACUUCUUUUGCUCUGAACAAGGCAUGCUAAUGGGUGUGUUGAGUGUAGGGGUUGAUUAGCGCCGGCUAACUACGUGCCAGCAGCCGCGGUAAUACGUAGGGCGCGAGCGUUGUCCGGAAUUAUUGGGCGUAAAGGGCUUGUAGGUGGCUGGUUGCGUCUGUCGUGAAAGCUCAUGGCUUAACUGUGGGUUUGCGGUGGGUACGGGCUGGCUUGAGUGCAGUAGGGGAGGCUGGAAUUCCUGGUGUAGCGGUGGAAUGCGCAGAUAUCAGGAAGAAUGCCGGUGGCGAAGGCGGGUCUCUGGGCUGUUACUGACACUGAGGAGCGAAAGCAUGGGGAGCGAACAGG
rnacentral:rRNA from 1 species